AAGUUUGAAAUCUCCACACUCCCCCCUCUGCUCUUCGCCGAAAGGCUUAUGCCCAGGCCUUCAACCACUCAAAAGUCAUCGGCGUCCAGCGAAGCAAGGCCCUCUCGACAGCGCAAACACGAUGCGCGGUUCAUGGGCGUGUACGUCUCCUACAUGGAGGUGGAGUGAUGCACGGUGCAGAGAUUCACGCGAUGUGCGGUACCUGGGGACUGCUUCGGUUGUAAACAGCAGCUCCUUGGGUUUUUGUUUGCUGAAAUUUGUUUAUGCUUUGGGCCAUUUGGGCCUUGUAGUUUGGGUUUGUUUUUUGUUGGGUGUUGGGCUGUUUGGGUAGUGUUUUUAUUUAGUUUUGUAUGUGUGUGGGCCUGGGCAUAAAUUGGGCUUAACAGCUGCCCCUCUUUGCUCGUUGUCAUGUAAUGGGAACGAAGCAAAUAUUACAAAGGCUAAUUUUGCCCGGUUCUGUCAGAUCUUGGCUUAUUGGUGUAA